AGUUUGAUUGGCUCAGAUUGAACGCUGGCGGGGAUGUUUACACAUGCAAGUCGAACGGCAGCACGGACUUCGGUCUGCGGCGAGUGGCGAACGGGUGAGCAAUGUAUCGGAAUGUGCCUAGUAGCGGGGGAUAACUACGUCGAAAGCGUGAAGCACACCGCAUACGCCCUUCGGGGGAAAGCGGGGACCUUCGGGCCUCGCACUAUUAGGAGCGGCCGAUAUCGGAUUAGCUAGUUGGUGGGGUAACGGCUCACCAAGGCGACGAUCCGUAGCUGGUUUGAGAGGACGACCAGCCACACUGGGACUGAGACACGGCCCAGACUCCUACGGAGGCAGCAGGGAAUUUUGGACAAUGGGGAAACCCUGAUCCAGCCAUCCCGCGUGUGCGAUGAAGGCCUUCGGGUUGUAAAGCACUUUGGCAGGAAAGAAACGGCACGGGAUAAGACCCCGUGCGCAACUGACGGUACCUGCAGAAUAAGCACCGGCUACAACUACGUGCCAGCACGCGGUAAUACGUAGGGUGCAAGCGUUAAUCGGAAUUACUGGGCGAAGCGUGCGCAGGCGGUUCGGAAAGAAAGAUGUGAAAUCCCAGCUUAACUUUGGAACUGCAUUUUUAACUACCGAGCUAGAGGUCAGAGGGAGGUGGAAUUCCGCGCAGUGCAGUGAAAUGCGUAGAUAUGCGGAGGAACACCGAUGGCGAAGGCAGCCUCCUGGGAUAACAUUGACGCUCUGCGCACGAAAGCGUGGGGAGCAAACAGGAUUAGAUACCCUGUAGUCCACGCCCUAAACGAUGUCAACUAGCUGUUGGGCCUUUCGGGCUCUGGUAGCGCAGCUAACGCGUGAAGUUGACCGCCUGGGGGAGUACGGUCGCAAGAUUAAAACUCAAAGGAAUUGAUUUAAGACUGCACAAGCGGUGGAUGAUGUGGAUUAAUUGAUGCAACGCGAAAACCUUACCUACCCUUGACAUGUCUGGAAUCCCGAAGAGAUUUGGGAGUAUGCUCGCAAGAGAACCGGAACACAGGUGCUGGUGAUGGCUGUCGUCAGCUCGUGUCGUGAGAUGUUGGGUUAAAACCCGCAACGAGCGCAACCCUUGUCAUUAGUUGCUACGAAAGGGCACUCUAAUGAGACUUGAGACAAACUGGAGGAAGGUGGGGAUGACGUCAAGUCCUCAUGGCUCUUAGGUAGGGCUUCACACGUCAUACAAUGGUCGGGACAGAGGGUCGCCAACCCGCGAGGGGGAGCCAAUCCCAGAAACCCGAUCGUAGUCCGGAUCGCAGUCUGCAACUGACUGCGUGAAGUCGGAAUCGCUAGUAAUCGCGGAUCAGCAUGUCGCGGUGAAUACGUUCCCGCCCGCAUACACCGCCUGUCACACCAUGGAGUGGGUUUUACCAGAAGUAGUUAGCCUAACCGUAAGGAGGGCGAUUACCACGGUAGGAUUCAUGACUGGGGUGAAGUCGUAACAAGGUAG
rnacentral:rRNA from 1 species